UACGUAGGGUGCAAGCGUUAAUCGGAAUUACUGGGCGUAAAGCGUGCGCAGGCGGCGCCGCAAGUCAGGCGUGAAAUCCCCAGGCUCAACUUGGGAACUGCAUCCGAUACGUGGAUGGCUUGAAUUCGGGAGAGGGAUGCAGAAUUCCAGGUGUAGCGGUGAAAUGCGUAGAUAUCUGGAGGAAUGACCGGUGGCGAAGGCGGCA
rnacentral:rRNA from 1 species